CGGCAAGAGCUCAGAUUUGAAAUCUCACCUAGUGUGCGAGUUGUAAAUUGCAGGUUGGAGUCUCGGGUUAGACGUGUGUGCAAGUCCCUUGGAACAGGGUGCCACUGAGGGUGAGAGCCCCGUAUCGUGCAUGUCGACACCUGUGAGGCCCUUCUGACGAGUCGAGUUGUUUGGGAAUGCAGCUCUAAGUGGGUGGUAAAUUCCAUCUAAGGCUAAAUAUUGGCGAGAGACCGAUAGCGAACAAGUACUGUGAAGGAAAGAUGAAAAGCACUUUGAAAAGAGAGUGAAACAGCACGUGAAAUUGUUGAAAGGGAAGGGUAUUGGGCUCGACAUGGGAUUUACGCAUCGUUGCCUCUUGUGGGCGGCGCUCUGGGUUUUUCCUGGGCCAGCAUCGGUUUUCGUUGCAGGAUAAGGACAAUUGGAAUGUGGCUCCUCGGAGUGUUAUAGCCUUUUGUAGAUGCUGCGUAUGGGGACCGAGGGCUGCGGCGGACUCGUUUCGUCUCGGAUGCUGGCACAACGGCGCAAUACCGCCCG
rnacentral:rRNA from 1 species